UGAACUCUUAGCCUCAAGAAUGCUGGGU
rnacentral:piRNA from 1 species